GCCAUCGCUGGAAGGAUGAUUGAGGUCA
rnacentral:piRNA from 1 species